AAACUCGAGCAAACAAAACGAAGAUCUUCUAGUCUGUAUGAAAAUGAAGAAAACAGUAAUCUAAACUCUACAUUGCGAUCUGUAUUUAAGCACACUUUGUUCAUCUGUGUAUAUAGAAACUAGGGAUUAAUCACUAGGGAUAGAAACUAUCGAAAAAAAACCCCAAAAAACAGGUACAUUCCCACAGAGUUCAAAAUAAUCUAAGUAUCUAAAAUACAGAAUUAAGAGCGUUCCCACAAAGUUUAAAAGACUAGAAACUAAGUAAGGAAAGUAACCUAUCGAUCUUUGGAUUUGAAGAUGUGCUGCUAGAUUUAAAUUAACUGUGACCAAAUAGACGAUAAGCCAUUAUGUUAAACAAAGGGUAGACGCAAACAAAGAAUUAAGAACGUUCCAACAAUAAAAAGAGCACCUAAUGAAGAUAAUUAAAUAUUGACCGAAGCCAGGACUCUUAUUGUUAGAUGGAUCUCAAGGCGAGAAGACAGUGCAUUAGUAAGUUGGUAGUAAGUUUAGUACUGAAAAUUCAGUUCUUUUCUAUUCCUAUGAAAGACAGUUGAAACAAUCCGGACAGCAAUGUCGGUAAAUGCAUUUGUCACACAUUCCGGUAGAGCAAAAACAAGAGUAAUCAUACUUUAUGAUUUCAGUAGUUGAUUCAUCUACAGGAAAAACAUCGACGUUAAAAAACACAAAACUUUCCCAGCCUCCGUUCUCAGAGAUCCAAUCACCAAACCUUUCAAUAACGAAUUCACCCGUAUAUUUCUUGAGUUAAAAAAUUUCGUUCUCGCUCUUUCCCUUCGCAAUUAAAGCGCAAAGAAGAUACAGAUCAUGAUGCGGCUCUAAUUAAUUUCUUCUCCGGCAAACUUUUCUUUCAAACGUGUGAUAAGCUGAUCGGGACAGAAACCGCUAAACGUUGACAAUUCAGGAAUAUAUUCUUUUUCGAUCUGCUCAGCAAUACGAAUAACAGCAAACAGUAACGGUAUAAAUGGUCAAACCAAACCUGGUGUCAUUGAGGAUGCUACCUGUAAUUUUACAUCAGACAGGGUACCUGAUAUUACAGCAUUUAGUGAUUCCUUCAUUGUGGACAGUAACACUAUAUUAACGAAGCUGGGCGCCUUCAUCGGCCGGGAGGAUGGCGACAACAAGAACGUCAUGUUUGGUAUCGGCUUAUGGGUGGACGACGAAGGGACGCAUUAUGGAGAAAAUGAGUUAAUAAAUCUAAAGAACAAUAUA